rnacentral:lncRNA from 1 species
CAAAAUUUGUUUUGUAGUAAAAACAAUACCAUAAGGUGUCUCUUAAAUUCUUGAUAAAACUAUUGUAUGCACACUGGUUUUCCAGAAGACAAUUGUUUCUUAGCCAUAGCCAAUAUUUUGGACAAAGAUCAUGAAGAUCUAAAAGGCCCUUGCUCCUCUAGUCCCUGUCAAGGAAUUUCCUCUUGUGUGUAUACCCUGGAGAAAGGGGUUUCCUGUGCAAAUGUCCUCAUGGGAACAGUGGACUGACCUGUGAAACUGCCAUUAAUUCCUGUGGAGAGAAUGCUUGCCAACAUGAAGUUAUCUGCCAUAAUGGCCCUGAGCACCUUGCCUGUAUCUGCCCUUCUGGAUAUGCUGGAAGGAUCUGUGAGACAGAUCACAGUGAGUGUGCUUCUAGCCCUUGCCAUAAUGAGGCUGUGUGUGAGGAUUGAAUAAAAGGCCACUUCUGCUUCUGUGUGCCUGGAUACCAAGGCAGGCAUUGUGACUUGGAAGUAGAUGAAUUUGAAUUCAUUCCUGCAUGAAUGUGGCUGUAUGCCUCAGUGAGAUAGGAGGAUACAUAUGUAUCUGUCCUCAAGAGUAUUCUGGUGUCAUCUGUGAGUUGGAAAUUGAUGAAUGAGAAUUCCCGGUGGAUUCUACAUGGUGCCAUCUGUAAGGAUGCUCUUGGGGCUUACUUCUGUGACUAUGUACCUGGAUUCCUUGGAGACUACUGUGAACUCAAUUUGAUGAAUGUGCCAGUCAGCUAUGACUCCGUGGAGGUCUAUGUGUGGAUGGAAGAAACAACUCCUACUGUCUGCACACGUAAGUAGAUUCACAGGGUCACACUGAGAUUUUGAUUUCUCUUCACCGGCCAAAACAUUGUCUCAAUGAUACAACAUUUGAAGACAGUGUCAACAGCUGUAUUUAUCACUGCUGGACUGGACAUACAGGUGCCUUCUGUGAGAUGGACAUAAAUGAAUGCAAUAGGAUCUCCUGCCAAUUUGGGAGGGAAUAUGCUGAGUUAUCCUCAGAGGAUCGAUCAAUAGGGACACAUUGCAGGACCUCCUUUUUCCUUUAGCUACCUUGGAGCCUCAGGCUCUGUUUUUAUCUUUUAGCCUGGAUUC